CAGUCGCCACGGGAAUACGUAGGGUGCAAGCGUUAAUCGGAAUUACUGGGCGUAAAGCGUGCGCAGGCGGUUCGCUAAGACAGAUGUGAAAUCCCCGGGCUUAACCUGGGAACUGCAUUUGUGACUGGCGGGCUAGAGUAUGGCAGAGGGGGGUAGAAUUCCACGUGUAGCAGUGAAAUGCGUAGAGAUGUGGAGGAAUACCGAUGGCGAAGGCAGCCCCCUGGGCCAGUACUGACGCUCAUGCACGAAAGCGUGGGGAGCAAACAGGAUUAGAUACCCGGGUAGUCCCUGUCUCUUAUAC
rnacentral:rRNA from 1 species